rnacentral:rRNA from 1 species
GAUGAACGCUGGCGGCAGGCCUAACACAUGCAAGUCGAGCGGAUGACGGGAGCUUGCUCCUUGAUUCAGCGGCGGACGGGUGAGUAAUGCCUAGGAAUCUGCCUGGUAGUGGGGGACAACGUUUCGAAAGGAACGCUAAUACCGCAUACGUCCUACGGGAGAAAGCAGGGGACCUUCGGGCCUUGCGCUAUCAGAUGAGCCUAGGUCGGAUUAGCUAGUAGGUGAGGUAAUGGCUCACCUAGGCGACGAUCCGUAACUGGUCUGAGAGGAUGAUCAGUCACACUGGAACUGAGACACGGUCCAGACUCCUACGGGAGGCAGCAGUGGGGAAUAUUGGACAAUGGGCGAAAGCCUGAUCCAGCCAUGCCGCGUGUGUGAAGAAGGUCUUCGGAUUGUAAAGCACUUUAAGUUGGGAGGAAGGGCAGUAAGUUAAUACCUUGCUGUUUUGACGUUACCGACAGAAUAAGCACCGGCUAACUACGUGCCAGCAGCCGCCGUAAGAC